rnacentral:rRNA from 1 species
UACGGAGGGAGCAAGCGUUACUCGGAAUUACUGGGCGUAAAGGGCGCGUAGGCGGCCUUCUAAGUCGAACGUGAAAUCCCCGGGCUCAACCCGGGAACUGCGUCCGAUACUGGAAGGCUUGAAUCCGGGAGAGGGAUGUGGAAUUCCAGGUGUAGCGGUGAAAUGCGUAGAUAUCUGGAGGAACACCGGGUGGCGAAGGCGACAUCCUGGACCGGUAUUGACGCUGAGGCGCGAAAGCCAGGGGAGCAAAGCGGG